UACGUAGGGGGCAAGCGUUGUCCGGAAUCAUUGGGCGUAAAGAGCGUGUAGGCGGCUUUGUAAGUCCGCUGUGAAAGUCCAGGGCUCAACCCUGGAAUGCCGGUGGAAACUGUCAAGCUUGAGUCCGGAAGAGGCGAGUGGAAUUCCUGGUGUAGCGGUGAAAUGCGCAGAUAUCAGGAGGAACACCAAUGGCGAAGGCAGCUCGCUGGGACGGUACUGACGCUGAGACGCGAAAGCGUGGGGAGCAAACAGG
rnacentral:rRNA from 1 species